GAUUAACGCUGGCGGUAUGCCUAACACAUGCAAGUCGAACGGAAUACUCGAAAAGAGAAUCUCACACUAGUGAGAGGUUCUCCAACCGAGUAUUUAGUGGCGGACGGGUGAGUAACACGUUGGAACCUGCCCCGAAGUGGGGAAUAACUGCUCGAAAGAGUAGCUAAUACCCCAUAGUAUCCGGUUUAUCCGGAUUAAAGAUUUAUCGCUUCGGGAGGGGCCUGCGUCUGAUUAGCUUGUUGGUGAGGUAAAAGCUCACCAAGGCGACGAUCAGUAGCUGGUUCGAGAGGAUGACCAGCCACACUGGGACUGAGAUACGGCCCAGACUCCUACGGGAGGCAGCAGUGAGGAAUCUUCCACAAUGGACGAAAGUCUGAUGGAGCAAUACCGCGUGCAGGACGACGCUUUUCGGAGUGUAAACUGCUUUCAGCAGGGACGAAAAUGACGGUACCUGCAGAAGAAGCACCGGCUAACUUCGUGCCAGCAGCCGCGGU
rnacentral:rRNA from 1 species